GUCGCCCACAGGCCUGGUCUAAAAAUAGCACAACUCACUAGUGAGCUACGUCUGAAAUGUAAUUGUAUUCUGUUGCUAUUCUUUUUAAUUACACUUGCAUUUAUAUAUAUUUAAAAAUGACAAUAUCUUAAAAAUAUUUUCAUUAUACAUGAGUUUAGAUAAGUUCAGGUGAACUCUGACCUACUCUAGUUCAAAGGUCAGUAUUGUGCGCGUGAAAAAAACAGUGCUCGUGGAGAGUAAGCUAGCGGGCGCAGCGAAGAAAACAAAAGUGAUCGGCUUUGAGCACGUGAUGACUCCGUUGUAAAAAUCAUAAACAACAUCCGCUCCAAAGCAAAACAGCACAGGAUUUUCAAGGUGCUAUUUGAGGAGAUGUUAGCUGAAUAUGGUGACCUGCUGCUACACAGAGAAAUCCGAUGGCUCAGCAGAGGGCGAGUUUUUUGUCACUUUUGGGUGAAAUCAAAGAGUUCAAGCAGUCCAAAGGCAAAGACGUCUCACUGCUAGAGGACAGAGUGGACACUUGACCUUGCAUUUUUGACGGACAUUACUGGGAAACUAAACGACUUGAACUGCAAGCUGCAAGGCAAGACUAAAAAAAGGUGCUGCACUUUCCCUGUGUGCAGUCGGUGCUGAAAGACAAUGCUUCUGCAUCUGAGACAUUUGACAAAGUUGCAGAAAAGUACUGUGAAGUCAUAAACAGACUUGGGCAAGAGUUUGAGAAUAGGUUUUGUGACCUUCAUCAGCUUGAGCCAUGUGUGUCGUUCAUUUCCAAUCCUUUCAUGAAUGUGGACACAACAUUCUUUGCUGAGCAACUAAGUGCAACGUUCAACUUGGAUGCUGGACAGGUGGAGAUUGAAAUCAUAACAUUGCAAAAUGACCUCCACCUCAAAGUCUACCAGGCUGCACCAAACUUUUGGUGCCUUGUUGACACAGAGAAGUACAGUGGAGUAUGCACAGCAGCUAUGAAGGUUGCUAGCCUGUUUGGUUCAACCCAUCUCUGUGAAUCAGCGUUUUCUGACAUGAACUUCAUCAAGAACAAACACAGAACACGCCUCACUGAUGCACAUCUGAAAGACUCACUCACAAUUGCAGUGUCAAGUUACACACCAGAUUACAAUACACUGGUGAACAGCAUGCAAUGCCAGUCUUCCCACUAACAAAGAAACAGAUACCAGAUGUCAGUGGCAACAUGGCAGUGCCAUGGCGAAGUUGAAGUAAAAUAUUGAAGAAUUUUGUUCAAUUUAAAAGUGUGUUAAAAAAUGCAGCAGAUUUGGUCAAUAGUUCAAAAUGUGACAAGAUUUAUUUAAAAAUAAGUUGAUUUUUCUAACAUUACAUAAUUGAUAACUUUUUGAGACAGUUCAUGAUUUGUUACAAGGGUUUGUCAGUGGCUAGUGAAAAUGGGACAUUUUUCCUAUGAAAUGUAGUGAUGUAAGUGAUCAUCUGAAAAUGUAACAAUUACUGAGAUUAAAG
rnacentral:lncRNA from 1 species